rnacentral:lncRNA from 1 species
UAAGUUUAUGACGAUACGCUUUAGUUUUGCCAACACAAUGCCCGAGAUGGCUCCCGGAUAACGGUAAGAUGUCGUAAAAACACCAAAAGUAAGCAUUUCAAGCGCCAUGAGACUUAGAUUGAUCGAUUUUUAUAUUUUACACUGUAGUACAUAGUCUAUGUAAAACAAUAAUAGCUGUGGCAAGUAAAGGAGGCCAGACUUUAAAGGAGGCUGUCCAGAGAAUGUCCUUUGCGUUAUUCACUAAUAACCUCUGCUGUAAACUUAACUGGUCUGGUAUUACCAUAAAUGACAAUGAAAGUAACUUUGUAAAACAAAGACUUACACUUGCUUAAAAGAGCUGUAAAAAGAAAUCCUGGAACAACUUCAGCAACUAAAUCAGAUUUUCAAUAUGAGGUUGUGCGUUUUUUGCGUGGUGCAUCAGACCGCAAUGGCAGAAAAAAAGUUAGACAAGACCAAAAAAACAAACAAGCCAAGAAAAUGAUGCCUAUAUCAAGUUUUCCAAUGCCAUUAAAUAAUUUAGUUCAGAAGAUGAAUAACAUUGCUAAAUAAAAUAAGCAUCUUUAUUUACAUAUUUGUUAUCUUUAUUUUACAAUAUUUUAUAUGAUUUUAAACUCAAUAGAGUAAAGUUUUUGUGUAAUGAGUAUUAUUGAUCUGUGUUUUUCAUAUUCAUUCCCUUUUACAGUAACCUUUUGUAUAUGAGAUUGUAGAUGAGAAUUUAAAUCGUCAUAUUGAAUCUUACCAGAGAAUAAAGAAACCGUUUACCUCAACCAGAGUUAUAUUUCAUAGAAUUAUGUUGACCAUAAUCCAAAUAUUGCCAUGGGUAUAAGAUAGAUGUUUGAUUUGCAAACUGGAUUUAAAUCAUAUUUUCUUUAA